rnacentral:tRNA from 1 species
UCUUUUUUAUAGAAAACGGUUUCAAUUCUUAUUUCUACAACAAAUAAGGAAUGGUCGUAAUGUUGAAACAUUUAAAGACAGA